rnacentral:tmRNA from 1 species
GGGGGCGACCUGGUUUCGAUCGGGUAAGUUGAGGCGCCCGGUGGCGUGUCGUGGUUGAUCAGCUGGCCACGUAAAAAGCCGAUCACAACUUUAACUGCUGAACCUCAAUUCAGCAUGGCAGCCUAAUAGUGCUGCCCCGAUCCUGGGAGCUUAACCUGAGAGGUCCCAGUUCGGUCGUUAAAUCAGGCUCGCGAUUGCCAGAGUCUCGCAAGGGACGCAUCGGCGGCGGCGAUCGCUAAAAAACCUGGCCGGUUAGUCGAACGCACCCUCUGCUUGACGAAGCGCGUUCGAUGAACAUGAAGGGUUCGGCCUUUCAAAAUCGCCAAGCUACACACGUAGAUGCCGCCGCUGAAGUACUCCGACACCCGGGUUCAAUUCCCGGCGCCUCCACUC